AUGACGAAUGAAGGUGGUUGCUUUCUGAAGGUUCCCUCAAAGGUUUCAAUAUGUGUGUGGCGGUUGUUGCGUGAUAGGUUGCCUACAAAGGUAAACUUGGUCAACCAUGUGAACUUCGUUUCGUUAUCUUGCAUCACCUUCCAAUCUCUCCCAUAUAUUCUCGAAAAUCACUUUGCGGAAUUUUUUCAAACACCUUGUGUUCUUCUCAAUCGAUCAUUACUGCAAACGCGGAUCGUUGCUGAAAUUGGUUUCGACGAUAAUCAGCUUUUGGAUUGGGCAUGGUUAACACUAUCGAGCUUUGAAGAUUUUUCGUGCUCCUGA